GAUGAACGCUGGCGGCGUGCCUAAUACAUGCAAGUCGAGCGAACAGAUAAGGAGCUUGCUCCUUUGACGUUAGCGGCGGACGGGUGAGUAACACGUGGGUAACCUACCUAUAAGACUGGAAUAACUCCGGGAAACCGGGGCUAAUGCCGGAUAACAUGUUGAACCGCAUGGUUCUACAGUGAAAGGCGGCUUUGCUGUCACUUAUAGAUGGACCCGCGCCGUAUUAGCUAGUUGGUGAGGUAACGGCUCACCAAGGCAACGAUACGUAGCCGACCUGAGAGGGUGAUCGGCCACACUGGAACUGAGACACGGUCCAGACUCCUACGGGAGGCAGCAGUAGGGAAUCUUCCGCAAUGGGCGAAAGCCUGACGGAGCAGCGCCGCGUGAGUGAUGAAGGUCUUCGGAUCGUAAAACUCUGUUAUUAGGGAAGAACAAAUGCGUAAGUAACUGUGCGCGUCUUGACGGUACCUAAUCAGAAAGCCACGGCUAACUACGUG
rnacentral:rRNA from 1 species